rnacentral:rRNA from 1 species
UACGUAGGGUGCAAGCGUUGUCCGGAAUUAUUGGGCGUAAAGAGCUCGUAGGCGGUUUGUCGCGUCGAAUGUGAAAACCCCGGGGCUCAACCCCGGGCCUGCAUUCGAUACGGGCAGACUAGAGUUCGGUAGGGGAGUCUGGAAUUCCUGGUGUAGCGGUGAAAUGCGCAGAUAUCAGGAGGAACACCGGUGGCGAAGGCGGGACUCUGGGCCGAUACUGACGCUGAGGAGCGAAAAGUGUGGGGGAGCAAACAGG